rnacentral:rRNA from 1 species
CAGCGUGACUAGCUACUGAAUCAUUUGUACUUUAAAUAAAGUCACAAAAGAUGUCGUAAGGGAAAAUAAUGAUAUUACCUUACUAUAAGUGUCGUCAAAAACUGGUGCCAGAAGACUCGGUAAGACCAGAGACGCGAACGUUAAUCAUCUUAAUCAGGCGUAAAGGGUUUGUAGGCUGCUUUGAAAGUCUUAAAUUUAUAUUAGCUAAGGCAUUAAUUUUAUUUUGCCCUUAUAAAAUUAAGAUCAAUUAAAGCUAGAAUCUAAUAGAGGUAACAUAAAUAAUACUUAGAGGAGGGAUUAAAUCCAAAGAUCCUAAGGGGAAUACUAAGGGCGAAAGCAUUUUACCAUUAAAGAUUGACGCUGAGAAACGAAGGUGAGGAUAGGAAAUAGGAUUAGAUACCCCGGUACCCCUCUCUGUCAACGAUGAAUGGUAGUUCCUAGUUACGUAACUAGAGACGAUGUUAACACGUUAACCAUUCCGCCUUGUGAGUACGAUUGCAAAAUUGAAAACAAAAAAAUUAGUCGGUCUCGGAGCAAACGAAGUGAAGCAUGUUAUUUAAUA